AGAGUUUGAUCAUGGCUCAGGAUGAACGCUAGCGGCAGGCCUAAUACAUGCAAGUCGAACGGAGCAGCAAUGCUUAGUGGCGCACGGGUGCGUAACGCGUAUGCAACCUACCUAUCAGUGGGGAAUAGCCCCGGGGAAACCCGGAUUAAUACCGCAUAAUAUAGUUAAAUGGCAUCAUUUGAUUAUUAAACAUUUAUGGCUGACAGAUGGGCAUGCGUUAGAUUAGCUAGUUGGUAGUGUAAGGGACUACCAAGGCAAUGAUCUAUAGGGGUUCUGAGAGGAAGAUCCCCCACACUGGUACUGAGAUACGGACCAGACUCCUACGGGAGGCAGCAGUAGGGAAUAUUGGGCAAUGCCCGCAAGGGUGACCCAGCCAUGCCGCGUGCAGGAAGAAGGCCUUCUGGGUUGUAAACUGCUUUUGGAAGGGAACAAAACGGCUCUGCGGAGCAACUUGAGUGUACCUUCAGAAUAAGCACCGGCUAACUCCGUGCCAGCAGCCGCGGUAAUACGGAGGGUGCAAGCGUUGUCCGGAUUUAUUGGGUUUAAAGGGUGCGUAGGCGGCUUGUUAAGUCAGGGGUGAAAGACUGCAGCUCAACUGUAGCAGUGCCUUUGAUACUGAUGAGCUUGAGUAUAGAUGAGGCCGGCGGAAUUUAUGGUGUAGCGGUGAAAUGCAUAGAUACCAUAAAGAACACCGAUUGCGAAGGCAGCCGGCUAAACUACAACUGACGCUGAGGCACGAAAGCGUGGGGAUCGAACAGGAUUAGAUACCCUAGUAGUCC
rnacentral:rRNA from 1 species